GCUGGCCCACCCAGCUAAGCCAUCAAAAACCAGCAAGAGUUGGGACAUGAUGGAAGGAUGGUGAUGAUUUGAUUUUUUUCUUUGUCUCCUCCACGGGGAAGAAAAUCAACAACCCAACUUCUGACCUGGACCGCCUGCAUGACAAGCACAACCUCCCCUAUGUGAACAGCCAGACUGUGCGGAGAAUAUUUGAGAGGGAAGCUAACCGCUUCUUGGAUGAGCCUCAGAAGGCAUUGGUGUCUGACUACCUGGCCCAUUGUGGCAACACAGCUGUAAAACAUGACCGCAUGAAAAAUCGUGGGGCAGUUGUGAUGGCCGCUGAUAUAUUGACCAGGAUGGGUGAGAUGUCAAGUGCCAGGCCUUCUGGAGAAGGGGCCAGUCGUGAGCUGUUUGGAGAAGGGAAUAUUCUUCAAUCCGAAGAGUCCUCCAGCCAUGGUGACCAUUGUGCUGUCCUCUCCUUGAAACAGCCAUUGAUACAUUUGCACAAGCUCCCAGAGGAGAAUGAAAAGGUCAGGUUCCACUAGGCAUUCAAUAGCCUCUUGGAAAACCACCCUGUUACACUGAGUGGGAAACAGCCGGAAGUGAAAGAGCGCAGGGAUGUCUCAAGACAAGCAGCGGAAGCUCUACACACACACUGGGGGGCUGCGCAAUUGCAAAUGCGUGUAAACCAUACCCAUGCUGAGUAUUUAUUAUUUAAUUUUUUAGUAUUUAUUAUUAUUUUUUUAUAUAUAACAUUACUUUCAAGUAAGACUGGUUGCACAAAUCAAAGAUUUCAAUUAUUGUAUUCAUGACUAACAAAACUUGUCAUUUAUUUUGACAGAACAAUUCAGUCGGCGUAUGCCAACCAAAGAUCGGGUCGAGGCAUGGGUAAGAAAGCAGGGAUGGAAGGGGAUGACUGCCAACAUAGCCAUGGAAGUUAUCCAGAA
rnacentral:lncRNA from 1 species